rnacentral:tRNA from 1 species
GGGGUUGUGGCUCAGCAGUAGAGCGUUCGCCUAGCACGUGCAGGGCCCUGAGUUCAAUCCUCAGCACCACA